rnacentral:rRNA from 1 species
UACGAAGGGGGCUAGCGUUGCUCGGAAUCACUGGGCGUAAAGCGCACGUAGGCGGAUUGCUAAGUCAGGGGUGAAAUCCUGGAGCUCAACUUCAGAAUUGCCUUUAAGACUGCAUCGCUUGAAUCCGGGAGAGGUGAGUGGAAUUCCGAGUGUAGAGGUGAAAUUCGUAGAUAUUCGGAAGAACACCAGUGGCGAAGGCGGCUCACUGGACCGGCAUUGACGCUGAGGUGCGAAAGCGUGGGGAGCAAACAGG